UUUUCUUUUUAUUCGUCUUUACUGUUUCUGUUCGCCUUCAGCAUUCGGCUUGGUCUUCAGCAUUCUGCACGGCGGCUGCUGCUACUGUUUCUGUUGGACCUUUUAUUUUCUAGGGUUUCUGUGACUUAAAAUGAAAUAGCUCUAUCGUAUUUUUCAUUAUUUUACUUUUCUGUUACUCACGUUUGGGUACUUAGAAACUGGAGAAAAAGAUGACAAACCUUUUUUUGGGGGAACUUUUCCGGUGGAGCAAGGGGAUAUUCACAAACGCUGGAAAUUGGUCAGUACGAGAUUGAAGGAUUUUCAUAAGUGUAUUGUGCUUCCCAUUGGCAGCCUAUCCAUUGGACUUUGCAGGCAUCGUGCAAUCCUCUUUUAAGCAAUUCCUGGGACCGAAACUCCUCGUCAUUCGGUCAGUUUUGGAGAAGUUGUUCACUCACAAAGUCUUGGCACCGGUGGUUCGUCGACGGUUCAAUAUUUUGCCAAACAUGAUACAGUAAAUCUUGCUGAGCACAAUUUCUUGCUAUGGAAACAUCAACUAUUGCUGAUUCUUGAUGGGUAUGGACUUGAAGGUUUUGUGUUGGGAACAGUUGCGACUCCUCCAAUGAUUCUUGCAGGUGGUGAUGGAUAAUUGAUGGAUAAUCCGGCGUUUCUUGUUCAUAGAAAGUAGGAUAAAUUCUUAGCAUCUUGGCUUCUCUCAACAGUCACUGAUGAGAUUCUAGUGCAUCUCACAGCAGCAAAGACGAGCUUUGUGGUUUGGACUGCAAUCGAGAAAAGGUUUGGCACUACUUCUAGUAUUAAGGCAGCAAGUCUACGUCAUGCCUUGUAUUCGAUCAAGAAGUCGAGUUUAACUGUUAAAGAAUAUCUGGCUAAGGUAAAUAAUCUUAGUGAUAGCCUAACAUCAGUAGGAAGCUUGGUAGCUGAAAGAGAACAAGUCAGUGUCAUUUUGUUAGGGCUUCCUAUGGAGAAUGAGUUUGUUCGUGUGUUUGCUUCUGCAACUCCGAUAUCUUUGGAUCUACUUACUGACAUGCUUCUUGAUUGUGAAGCUCGCCACUUAGCCCUAUUGACAGAAACUCCUUUGCAAGCCAAUUUGGUAGAUAAGUAUCAAGGGACCUUUGGGGGUUCGAAGUCCACUUACUCAUAGGCUUCUAAACAAGGGUGUAGUAGUUCGAAUUGUGGCUGGUCUCGUGGGCGAACUAGAGGAGCCGAUUGGGGUUGGUCUCGAUCUAGGCCACAAUGCCAGUUAUGUGGUAAAUUUGGACAUAUUGUUCAAAAUUGUUAUCAUCAAUUCGAUGAGAACUUUUCUGGUCAAAGCCCUUCAGUUAAUCUCCAUCACACUCAAGAUUUUGCUCAUUCCUCAGCAUCUUGCUCAUCUAUGGUUUCUUUUUCUGGCUCGUGCUCAUGUUCGUAGUCAUCGUCUUCAUCGACCUCUACUGAUCAAACUUGGUAUCCGGAUUCGGGUGCAACGAACCAUGUUACACCUGACAGGUCAAAUCUAAUGACUGCUGCUCCCUAUACAGGUACUGGUCGUGUUUUCAUGGGAAAUGGUAAGUCUGUUCCUAUUGCUAAUGUAGGGUCGUCUAGUGUCUUAGUUGGCUCUAGACUUUUUCAUCUUCAGAACGUGUUGCAUGUUCCUACCGUUUGCAAGAACCUGAUUUCUGUUGGUCAGUUUGCAAAAGACAAUGCUGUUUAUUUUGAAUUUCACCGUUAUCUGUGUUUUGUGAAGGACAUUCAGACAGGGAGGAUUCUUCUCGAGGGCCAUAUGUAUAACGGUUUAUACAAGUUUCAAUUCUCAAAGGCUGCUCCCAACCCCAAAUGCUUUCCCUCGAAGGUUGAUUCCUGCUUGGUCAACAGUGUACAACUCUCGUCUACUACUGCUUUAUGGCAUAACAGGUUGGGACAUCCAUGUUCCAACACAUUAGCUCAUGUUCUGAGAUCCUAUAGUGUACCUUUUGUGAAGACUGAUUUGCCUCGUUUAUGUACAGCCUGUCAGCUAGGCAAAGCUCACAAGCUCUCGUUUUCUUCUUCCAAGACCGUCUAUUCUUUUCCUUUUGAACUAGUAGUGUCUGAUGUAUGGGGACCAGCUAGUGUAGCCUCGAAUGGGUUUGGUUACUACGUGUCUUUUGUUGAUAUGUAUAGUAGAUACACGUGGGUUUAUUUUCUUAAGAAUAAAUCUGAGGUAGUUCAAUAUUUUCUCAACUUUCAUCAGAUGAUUGAGGUUCAGUUUGGAUGUUCAGUUAAAAUGUUACAAACCGACUAGGGGGAGAGUAUCGUGUGUUGACAAGGGAGCUCUCUCGUUUGGGAAUACAUCAUAGGGUUACCUGUCCCUACAAUUCAGAGCAAAAUGGUACUGCUGAGAGAAAGCAUCGACAAAUUGUUGACAUGGGAUUGUCUCUUCUAGCCCAAUCUAACAUUCCUCUGAAGUUCUGGUAUUUUGCGUUUGAACAUGCUGUUUUUUUGACAAACAGACUACCUACAACAGUUCUUCAUAAUGUGAGUCCUUAUGAGGUUCUUCAUAAGCAAAAGCCUAGCUAUGAUCUACUUUGAGUAUUUGGCUGUGCUUGCUUCCCUGAUUUGAGACUUUUCAACAAGCACAAAUUCCAGUUCAGGUCUCAAAUGUGUGUUUUUCUUGGGAGUGCUCCCAAUGCAAAGGGUUAUCGAUGCUUAGCUGCAGACGGUCGAGUAUAUCUCUCUCGUCAUGUUCGAUUUGAUGAGAUGAGUUUUCCUUUUCAAAAUGGAUUUUGCUCUUCAGUAACUUCUACAUAAAGUUUGCAUAGACAGACUAUACUUCCUAUAGUCGAGGAUAACUGUCCUUUUGAGAGUUCUCGUGAUCAGCCACUUGGUGCUCGAAGAAUGCCUCUUGUAGCAUCUUCUCUAGUUAAUUCUAAUUCUUCUUCUCCUACUGAUCCUCCACAGAUAACUGAAGUAUCUCCCACGUCUGGUCAACUUGACAGCAGUACAGUGAUUCCUCCACGUACAAACAUUCAUCCCAUGCAAACACGUGCCAAGAGUGGUAUUUUUAAAUCGUGAGUCUUUACUUCAGCCUUGGAUGAGCAGGAACCUAUGACAAUAGUUGAAGCUCGUCAAAAUCCUAAUUCGGCCGUAGCUGCUGAAGCUGAGUAUCGUGCAUUAUUGGUAAAUCACACAUGGGAUCUUAUGCCCCUACCUGCAGGUCGACGGGCAGUUGGUUGUAAGUGGAUUUUCAAGCUCAAAAAGCAUGCUGAUGGGACUGUUGCGAGGUAUAAAGGUCGACUGGUGGUUAAGGGUUACUUACAGGAGGUUGGGGUUGACUUUCAAGAGACGUUCAGUCCUGUGGUUAAGCCCACUACAUUAAGAGUGGUUAUUGCUUUGGCUGUCUCUUUGAAUUGGUCCCUCCGACAGGUAGAUAUAAAUAAUGCCUUUUUGAAUGGGGAUUUGCAUGAAGAAAUUUAUAUGGUGCAGCCUCCAAGUUUUAAGAAACAAGGUUCUAAUGGACAACAGUUGGUUUGUCAACUUCGAAAGGCUUUAUAUGGACUCAAACAAGCACCGAGGGCUUGGUUUCACAAAUUGCGAUAAUUUUUGGGAAGCAUGCAGUUUAAAGUGUCCAAGGCUGACAGUUCUUUAUUCAUUUUUCAGUCAAGAUCUCAGUUGAUGUAUGUACUGGACUAUGUUGAUGAUAUAAUCAUUACCGGAAAUGAUGGUAAGAUCAUAGAUGAGUUUGUCACUCAGCUAAAUGCGAAGUUCUCAUUGAAAGAUCUUGGAAGGUUACACUAUUUCUUGGGCAUAGAGGUGACGUACACUUCUCAAGGAAUCUUCCUUACACAAAAAAAAUUGUCGGCCAAUGAAGUCCUAUUGAGGAUGAGUGUCAUUAUAGAAGUGUUGUUGGGGCCCUGCAGUAUGUUGUCAUUACUCGACCAGACAUAGCCUAUGCAGUAAACAAAGUCUGCCAAUUUAUGCAUAAGCCUUUGGAUCUACAUGUCAAGGUAGUAAAGAGGAUAUUAAGAUACCUACAAGGGACAUUAGAUUAUGGGCAGAAAUUCACUCGAACAUCAAGGUUCUCACUUGAAGGGUACUCAGAUGCGAGCUGGGGGUCUGAUGUAGAUGAUCGAAGGUCAACCUCAGGCUUUUGUGUGUUUCUUGGUGGAAAUCCAAUUUCCUGGAGCUCGAGGAAGCAACAAGUCAUAUCAAGGUCUACAGCAGAAGCGGAAUAUAGGAGUGUGGCUCAUAUCACCGCUGAGAUAAUGUGGAUUCAAGCUUUGCUGGCUGAAUUGUAUGUUUCAGUUCCACAGAAGGCAUUGGUAUGGUGUGAUAGUUAGGCAGCUGUUGCAGUUGCGGGGAAUCCAAUUUUGCACUCAAAAUUUAAACAUGUUGAAAUGGAUCUACUCUUUGUUAGAGAAAAAAUUGCUGAUGGGGUACUUCAUGUAGGGCAUAUACCUGGUUCAGAACAAACUGCCGACAUACUAACUAAACCACUGUCGAUAGAGGCAUUCACCAAGUUUCGUGAUCGACUAGGUGUUGUUACUACAAGUAGGGAAGAACUUGAUAAGCAUGGGGCAUGUUAGGAAUAAUAACAGUUAGUAGUUGGUGACGGUUAGGAGAGUUAAGCGUUUCUGUUACAGUUGGUUAGCUGAGCUUAUUAAAUACAUGCAGUUGUAUUCAUGCAAGUAUGAUGAAAUUAAAGUAAUUCGGUUUAUUCAUUUGAGUUUCUAAUA